rnacentral:rRNA from 1 species
ACUCCUACGGGAGGCAGCAGUAGGGAAUCUUCCACAAUGGACGCAAGUCUGAUGGAGCAACGCCGCGUGAGUGAAGAAGGGUUUCGGCUCGUAAAGCUCUGUUGUUACAGAAGAACGUGGGUGAGAGUAACUGUUCACCCAGUGACGGUAUUUAACCAGAAAGCCACGGCUAACUACGUGCCAGCAGCCGCGGUAAUACGUAGGUGGCAAGCGUUAUCCGGAUUUAUUGGGCGUAAAGCGAGCGCAGGCGGUCUUUUAAGUCUAAUGUGAAAGCCUUCGGCUCAACCGAAGAAGUGCAUUGGAAACUGGGAGACUUGAGUGCAGAAGAGGACAGUGGAACUCCAUGUGUAGCGGUGAAAUGCGUAGAUAUAUGGAAGAACACCAGUGGCGAAGGCGGCUGUCUGGUCUGUAACUGACGCUGAGGCUCGAAAGCAUGGGUAGCGAACAGGAUUAGAUACCCUGGUAGGAUAGCG